rnacentral:rRNA from 1 species
AACGUAGGAUCCGAGCGUUAUCCGAAUUUACUGGGCGUAAAGCGCGUGUAGGCGGCUGGGUAAGUUGGAUGUGAAAUCUCCUGGCUCAACUGGGAGAGGACGUUCAAGACUGCCUGGCUGGAGGACGGUAGAGGAAGGUGGAAUUCCCGGUGUAGUGGUGAAAUGCGUAGAUAUCGGGAGGAACACCAGUGGCGAAGGCGGCCUUCUGGACCGUUCCUGACGCUCAGACGCGAAAGCUAGGGGAGCGAACGGGAUUAGAAACCCCCGUAGUCC